rnacentral:rRNA from 1 species
CCUUGUACACACCGCCCGUCACGUCACGAAAGUGGGUUGCACUAGAAGUCGGUGGGCCAACCGCAAGGAGGCGGCCGCCCAAGGUGUAAUUCAUGAUUGGGGUG